GAUAGCUUUAACACUCCCGAAGUAGUUACUUUAAUAAUUAUUUUUUCAGGUCCUUGUAUUUAUUCCUCGCCAAAGAAGUCGUCGUAGGGGGUGAGAAUCCCUUUUGGGGAGGAUUCCUUUUCUUUGUAAGACUUUUUCGAAGAGUUGAGUUGUUUGGGAAUGCAGCUCAAAGUGGGUGGUAAAUUCCAUCUAAAGCUAAAUAUUGGCGAGAGACCGAUAGCGAACAAGUACAGUGAUGGAAAGAUGAAAAGAACUUUGAAAAGAGAGUGAAAAAGUACGUGAAAUUGUUGAAAGGGAAGGGCAUUUGAUCAGACAUGGUGUUUUUUGCAUGCACUCGCCUCUCGUGGGCUUGGGCCUCUCAAAAAUUUCACUGGGCCAACAUCAAUUCUGGCAGCAGGAUAAAUCAUUAAGAAUGUAGAUACUUCGGUAGUGCAAUAGAAGUUCCAGUAU
rnacentral:rRNA from 1 species